AUGGCUGGUAGAAUUAAUAUCUUCGCCCCCAAUCUGUCACCCCAGGCUUCCAGAUUUUGGAAAGGCAUUAAAUCGACUAUCCAAACACUGAAGUUUGGAUACAGAUGGAAAAUUGGAUCAGGCACCAAAGUCAGAUUCUGGGAGGAUACCUGGUUUGGUACCUCCCCUCUAUCUAUGCAGUUCUGGCCGGUUUACUCCAUUUGUAAUGAGCAAGCUAAGAGUGUUUGUGAGGUUUGGGAUGGGAAUCAACUCAAACUAACUUUUAGAAGGAAUUUUGAUGAUAUCCUCAUGGAGCAAUGGCACCAGCUGGUGGAAAUUGCUGGAAGUGUGACCCUGAAUGAUGAUACAGAUGCUUUAAUCUGGCAGCUAGAUAACAAAGGAAUUUACUCCACUAGCUCGCUUUAUCAUGUUAUCAACUUUAGGGGGGUGCAACCAGUAUAUAUCCCAGCUGUUUGGAAGCUUAGGACUCCCCCCAAGAUCCACGUCUUCCUCUGGCUCUUUGCCAACAACAAACUGAUGACUAGGGAUAAUCUUAGGAAAAGACAAAUUAUCAAACCACUUGACUGCGUUUACUGUGCUGAAGCAGAAACAAAUGCACACUUGUUCUUUGAAUGUAUAGUUGCUAAACAGGUCUGGCCUUUUGUCUCUGCCUUCUUCGAGACAAAUGUUGGGCUUGAUUAUGAAUCGAUUGCUAAAUUCUGGGUAGCCAAUGGCAAGCACUCUGCACUUAAUACUGUUAAUGCAGCUGUGCUCUGGUGUCUUUGGAAAUAUAGGAACUCUAUUAUUUUCAAUUAA
rnacentral:rRNA from 1 species